rnacentral:tRNA from 1 species
GGACAAGAAACUAAAAGUGUUAUGGUUUCGGCCCAUAAGCAUGGCUACAUUCGUACCCUUGUUCU